rnacentral:lncRNA from 1 species
UGAGGCCCCUGGAAUAUGAGAUAAAUCAAGUACGGGUGUGUACUUGGAGAAUCUUACUGGAGGGAUCUGUGAAACCUUAUAUUCAAUCUCUAUGAUUGUUGUCUGUUAACUGAUCUUGCCUGUUCUCUUCUAAUACUAAAAGAAUUCUGAAAUUCUGUAUUACCGUGUCUUCUACUAUGCUUCUAAACUUGACACAAAGUGGUACUUUUGACUCUUUGUUUAAACUGCUGCAAGCUCUAGCUGAUCUGUGUGUGAUAAUUUGUCUGCAUCAUGACUACUACUAAAUUUGAAGUCAGUCAGUUUGAUGAUAAAAUUGAUUUUGAUAUGUGGUGUCAGAAAAUGAAAGCAAUUUUGAUGUAAAUGAAAUGUACAAAGGCUUUAGAUGAUUCAUGGCCUGAGAGUUUAGCACCAAAUAAGAAAUCUGAACUUGAGGAGAUUGUUU